rnacentral:rRNA from 1 species
AAUCAACGCUGGCGGCGUGCCUAACACAUGCAAGUCGAACGAGAAAGGGGACUUCGGUCCCUGAGUACAGUGGCGCACGGGUGAGUAACACGUGACUUAUCUACCCUCGAGUGGGGAAUAACUUCGGGAAACCGAGGCUAAUACCGCAUAAUACCCACGGGUCAAAGGAGCAAUUCGCUUGAGGAGGAGGUCGCGGCCGAUUAGUUAGUUGGCGGGGUAAUGGCCCCACCAAGACGGUGAUCGGUAUCCGGCCUGAGAGGGCGCACGGACACACUGGAACUGAGACACGGCCCAGACUCCUACGGGAGGCAGCAGUGGGGAAUUUUGCGCAAUGGGGGAAACCCUGACGCAGCAACGCCGCGUGGAGGAUGAAGUCUCUUGGGACGUAAACUCCUUUCGAUCGGGACGAUUAUGACGGUACCGGAAGAAGAAGCCCCGGCUAACUUCGUG